GGUGGCCCUUAUCAAAGCUGCAGCCGCUUCCACAUAGCAGCUCUGGUCAAAAGGGAGCCGAGAUGACAAUUUUCCUUGAUGGUUGCCAUUCUGCUCUAACUGAUCUGCAACAUGUCAGGAAAAGACAGUC